AGUUAGCAAGUACGUGCGUUAGGGAUUGAAACAGCAUCCUUUUUUGAAGAAUGAAAAAAAGAUAUAGUGGAAAGCCCGUUAAAAC
rnacentral:sRNA from 1 species